ACCAUACAGUGAGAAGCAACCGUGAAGAGAGAGAGAGAGAGAGAGAGAGAGGGGAAGGAAGACGAGUUGGUUCCCUUUUGUGGGUGCAGUUUCUUAUUUAUUAUGAGACUGCUCGGUGAGGGCUCGGCCUCUGUACCACGAGUUGAAUUGGGUCAGCUUUUUUAUAAUCGAAAGGAGCAUGAAAGGAAAGAGAUAGAAGUGAAGGAUAAAGAUAUGCAGGAAAUGAAGGGGAAGUGCGAUAGUAGUGGUAGCAAUGGAGAUGUUAAGAAGAAGAGGUAUAUUUUCACAUGGUCUCAACAGGUUCCUUUUCUUGCCUCUCUCCGCAACUGCUCAUUUAGCCUCAAGGACCGUGAUAUUAUCAUUUCCUUCUCUAGAAUUUUUGCUUUUGGUUUCUUUUUCAAAAUUUGAUUAAAUGGGACUCAUACGUAGGAGGAUGAUAUACUGCGUGACCAGAUUACAAUUCACGGAACAGACAACUGGGUGAUUAUCACGUCUUUGUUCAAGGACAAGGCGAGGUGAUUCAGGAGAAGACGGUAUACAUACUUGAAUUCUGAUCUCAAAACGGGUGGAUGGUCGCCUGCAAUUGUACCAUGAAUAUAGAGAAAAGCAAGACAUACAGAGUACCCUACGAGCUUCACGAAAUUUACUGAUUCAAUUCGCUCAAGAAGU